AUUGAACGCUGGCGGCAUGUUUUACACAUGCAAGUCGAACGGUAACAGGGAGCUUGCUCCGCUGACGAGUGGCGAACGGGUGAGUAAUGCGUCGGAACGUGCCGAGUAGUGGGGGAUAACGCAGCGAAAGUUGUGCUAAUACCGCAUACGUACUGAGGUAGAGAGUGGGGGACCUUCGGGCCUCACGCUAUUCGAGCGGCCGACGUCUGAUUAGCUAGUAGGUGAGGUAAAGGCUCACCUAGGCAACGAUCAGUAGCGGGUCUGAGAGGAUGAUCCGCCACACUGGGACUGAGACACGGCCCAGACUCCUACGGGAGGCAGCAGUGGGGAAUUUUGGACAAUGGGCGAAAGCCUGAUCCAGCCAUGCCGCGUGUCUGAAGAAGGCCUUCGGGUUGUAAAGGACUUUUGUCGGGGAGGAAAUCCCAGCGCUAACACCGCUGGGGGAUGACAGUACCUGAAGAAUAAGCACCGGCUAACUACGUGCCAGCAGCCGCCGCGGUAA
rnacentral:rRNA from 1 species